UAAGCGGAGGAAAAGAAACUAACAAGGAUUCCCCCAGUAACGGCGAGUGAAGCGGGAAGAGCUCAAGCUUAAAAUCUCCAUACUUGUAUGGCGAAUUGUAGUCUAUUGAGGCUGUUGUCAGCAUCGCGAUUGGGGACAAGUCCCUUGGAAAAGGGCAGCAUAGAGGGUGAUACUCCCGUCUCUGCUCCAAUCUGCGGUGUGUACGAUACGCUUUCUUUGAGUCGAGUUGUUUGGGAAUACAGCUCAAAGUAGGUGGUAAAUUCCAUCUAAAGCUAAAUAUUGGUGCGAGACCGAUAGCGAACAAGUACCGUGAGGGAAAGAUGAAAAGAACUUUGAAAAGAGAGUUAAAGAGUACCUGAAACUGUUGAAAGGGAACCGUAUCGUUUCCAGUGUUGUAUCCUAUGCAUAUUUCAUUCGUGGAGCAAUUUGCGGGUGCCCUGUGCAUGGGUGUGACGUCAGGGUCAGUUUGUAUGCUGCGGGAGAUGGUCAGUGAGGAGGUGCGUCACUUCGGUGAAAGUUAUAUCUCGCUGUCUAGUAGCCGUGGUUGAGACUGAGGUGCCUACAACAUGCCUUAAGGUUCCGUGUUGUCUCGUGUUGGUGACUGCUUUGAUAGCUUGCUAUGUUUGUGGUUUAUUAGUGCGAUUGAUGAUGCGGAUAACUUUUGCUGUUCGGGACUCUGGCGAAAUGGAGCGAUAC
rnacentral:rRNA from 1 species